rnacentral:rRNA from 1 species
UGGGGGAUAUUGCACAAUGGGCGAAAGCCGGAUGCAGCGACGCCGCGUGGGGGAUGAAGGCCUUCGGGUUGUAAACUUCUUUUGCUCUGAACAAGGCGCACCAUGGGGUGUGUUGAGUGUAGGGGUUGAUUAGCGCCGGCUAACUAGGUGCCAGCAGCCGCGGUAAUACGUAGGGCGCGAGCGGUGUCCGGAAUUAUUGGGCGUAAAGGGCUUGUAGGUGGCUGGUGGCGUCUGUCGUGAAAGCUCAUGGCUUAAAUGUUGGUUUGGUGUGGGUACGGGCUGGCUUGAGUGCAGUAGGGGAGGCUGGAAUUCCUGGUGUAGCGGUGGAAUGCGCAGAUAUCAGGAGGAAUACCGGUGGCGAAGGCGGGUCUCUGGGCUGUUACUGACACUGAGGAGCGAAAGCAUGGGGGGCGAACAGG